GAUGAACGCUGGCGGCGUGCCUAAUACAUGCAAGUCGAGCGAACAGAUGAGGAGCUUGCUCCUCUGACGUUAGCGGCGGACGGGUGAGUAACACGUGGAUAACCUACCUAUAAGACUGGGAUAACUUCGGGAAACCGGAGCUAAUACCGGAUAAUAUAUUGAACCGCAUGGUUCAAUAGUGAAAGACGGUUUUGCUGUCACUUAUAGAUGGAUCCGCGCCGCAUUAGCUAGUUGGUAAGGUAACGGCUUACCGAGGCAACGAUGCGUAGCCGACCUGAGAGGGUGAUCGGCCACACUGGAACUGAGACACGGUCCAGACUCCUACGGGAGGCAGCAGUAGGGAAUCUUCCGCAAUGGGCGAAAGCCUGACGGAGCAACGCCGCGUGAGUGAUGAAGGUCUUCGGAUCGUAAAACUCUGUUAUUAGGGAAGAACAAAUGUGUAAGUAACUAUGCACGUCCUGACGGUACCUAAUCAGAAAGCCACGGCUAACUACGUG
rnacentral:rRNA from 1 species